GACGAACGCUGGCGGCGUGCUUAACACAUGCAAGUCGAACGGAAAGGCCCUGCUUUUGUGGGGUGCUCGAGUGGCGAACGGGUGAGUAACACGUGAGUAACCUGCCCUUGACUUUGGGAUAACUUCAGGAAACUGGGGCUAAUACCGGAUAGGAGCUCCUGCUGCAUGGUGGGGGUUGGAAAGUUUCGGCGGUUGGGGAUGGACUCGCGGCUUAUCAGCUUGUUGGUGGGGCAGUGGCUUACCAAGGCUUUGACGGGUAGCCGGCCUGAGAGGGAGACCGGCCACAUUGGGACUGAGAUACGGCCCAGACUCCUACGGGAGGCAGCAGUGGGGAAUAUUGCACAAUGGGCGGAAGCCUGAUGCAGCAACGCCGCGUGCGGGAUGACGGCCUUCGGGUUGUAAACCGCUUUCGCCUGUGACGAAGCGUGAGUGACGGUAAUGGGUAAAGAAGCACCGGCUAACUACGUG
rnacentral:rRNA from 1 species